rnacentral:rRNA from 1 species
GAUGAACGCUAGCGGCAGGCCUAACACAUGCAAGUCGAAGGGCAGCACAUAAAGUGGUUUACUACUUUUGGUGGCGACCGGCGGACGGGUGCGUAACGCGUAUGCAACCUGCCUCCAACCGGGGGAUAACGGAGAGAAAUUUCCACUAAUACUCCAUAAUAUCAGACUCGGCAUCGGUUUUGGGUGAAAAAUCCGGUGGUUGGAGCUGGGCAUGCGUUGUAUUAGAUAGUUGGUGAGGUAACGGCUCACCAAGUCAACGAUACAUAGGGGGACUGAGAGGUUAGCCCCCCACACUGGUACUGAGACACGGACCAGACUCCUACGGGAGGCAGCAGUGAGGAAUAUUGGUCAAUGGGGGCAACCCUGAACCAGCCAUGCCGCGUGCAGGAAGACGGCUCUAUGAGUUGUAAACUGCUUUUACAAGGGGAUAAAUCGGUGUACGUGUACACCGUUGAAGGUACCUUGGGAAUAAGGAUCGGCUAACUCCGUGCCAGCCGCCGCGGUAA